rnacentral:rRNA from 1 species
UACGUAGGGACCAAGCGUUGUUCGGAUUUACUGGGCGUAAAGGGCGCGUAGGCGGCAUGACAAGUCACUUGUGAAAUCUCUGGGCUUAACCCAGAACGGCCAAGUGAUACUGUCGCGCUAGAGUGCAGAAGGGGCAACGGGAAUUCCUAGUGUAGCGGUGAAAUGCGUAGAGAUUAGGAAGAACACCAAUGGCGAAAGCACGUUGCUAGGCUGAUUCUGACACUGAGGGACGAAAGCUAGGGGAGCGAAAGGG